rnacentral:rRNA from 1 species
UACGUAGGGUGCAAGCGUUGUCCGGAAUUAUUGGGCGUAAAGAGCUCGUAGGCGGUUUGUCGCGUCUGCUGUGAAAUCCCGAGGCUCAACCUCGGGCCUGCAGUGGGUACGGGCAAACUAGAGUGUGGUAGGGGAGAUUGGAACUCCUGGUGUAGCGGUGGAAUGCGCAGAUAUCAGGAAGAACACCGAUGGCGAAGGCAGAUCUCUGGGCCAUUACUGACGCUGAGGAGCGAAAGCGUGGGGAGCGAACAGGAUUAGAUACCCUGGUAGUCCACGCCGUAAACGUUGGGAACUAGAUGUAGGGUCCAUUCCACGGAUUCUGUGUCGCAGCUAACGCAUUAAGUUCCCCGCCUGGGGAGUACGGCCGCAAGGCUAAAACUCAAAGGAAUUGACGGGGGCCCGCACAAGCGGCGGAGCAUGCGGAUUAAUUCGAUGCAACGCGAAGAACCUUACCAAGGCUUGACAUAUACCGGAAAAGCGUAGAAAUACGCUCCCCGCAAGGUCGGUAUACAGGUGGUGCAUGGUUGUCGUCAGCUCGUGUCGUGAGAUGUUGGGUUAAGUCCCGCAACGAGCGCAACCCUCGUCCUAUGUUGCCAGCACGUAAUGGUGGGAACUCAUGGGAGACUGCCGGGGUCAACUCGGAGGAAGGUGGGGAUGACGUCAAAUCAUCAUGCCCCUUAUGUCUUGGGCUUCACGCAUGCUACAAUGGCCGAUACAGGGGGCUGCAAUACCGCAAGGUGGAGCGAAUCCCAAAAAGUCGGUCUCAGUUCGGAUUGAGGUCUGCAACUCGACCUCAUGAAGUCGGAGUCGCUAGUAAUCGCAGAUCAGCAACGCUGCGGUGAAUACGUUCCCGGGCCU